CCUACGGGUGGCAGCAGUCGAGAAUCAUUCACAAUGGGGGAAACCCUGAUGGUGCGACGCCGCGUGGGGGAAUGAAGGUCUUCGGAUUGUAAACCCCUGUCAUGUGGGAGCAAAUUAAAAAGAUAGUACCACAAGAGGAAGAGACGGCUAACUCUGUGCCAGCAGCCGCGGGAAUACAGAGGUCUCAAGCGUUGUUCGGAAUCACUGGGCGUAACGCGUGCGUAGGCUGUUUCGUAAGUCGUGUGUGAAAGGCGCGGGCUCAACCCGCGGACGGCACAUGAUACUGCGAGACUAGAGUAAUGGAGGGGGAACCGGAAUUCUCGGUGUAGCAGUGAAAUGCGUAGAUAUCGAGAGGAACACUCGUGGCGAAGGCGAGUUCCUGGACAUUAACUGACGCUGAGGCACGAAGGCCAGGGGAGCGAAAGGGAUUAGAUACCCGAGUAGUC
rnacentral:rRNA from 1 species